AAUUCAACCUCUCACUCUCAACUCUCAACUCUCAAGAAUCGUCUUCAUUUCACCAUUUUUGCAGAGGAAACACAGAAGCAAGAAGCCAUGGACGGAGUGAUGGUCAAAGAAGAAGAACCAGUGGUUUCAUGGACUAUGGGCUCAUCAUCAUCAUCUUCUUCUUCACCAGGCUUUGCUCCUCACCCAAUGGAGGGUCUGCACGAGGUGGGUCCGCCUCCAUUUCUUACGAAGACCUUCGAUAUGGUGGAAGACCCAGCAACCGACUCAGUGGUCUCGUGGAGUAGAGCUCGCAACAGCUUCAUUGUUUGGGAUUCGUACAAGUUCUCUACUACUCUUCUUCCCAGGUACUUCAAGCACAGUAACUUCUCCAGCUUCAUUCGCCAGCUCAACACAUAUGGUUUUAGAAAAGUCGAUCCAGAUCGAUGGGAGUUUGCAAAUGAAGGGUUUUUGGGAGGGCAGAAGCAUCUGCUGAAGAACAUCAAGAGAAGAAGACAUGUCUCACAGAAUACACAGCAAGGAGGACUAGGAGCUUGUGUGGAAUUAGGGCAAUACGGAUUGGAGGAUGAACUUGAAAGAUUGAAGAGAGACAGAAACGUAUUAAUGGCAGAGAUCGCGAAGCUGCGGCAGCAACAACAGAAUUCCAGGAAUGAACUAGUUGUCAUGGAGGGUCGAAUGCAGAACACAGAGAAGAAGCAGAUGCAGAUGAUGACCUUUCUCGCCAAAGCAUUAAACAACCCUUCCUUUGUCCAGCAAUUUAUCCAGCAGAGAAGGGAACUUCGAGGGGCUGAAAUCGGGCGAAAACGACGAUUAACCACCAGUCAAAGUGCUGAGAAUUUGCAGGAAGUGAUAACGGUGGCAAGCAUCGACCAAGCGUUCAGCUACGCAAAUCAAGAUGAUGGGGACAUGUCGGGGAUUGAAUCAGAGAUAGAGACAUUUUUCUCAGGCGGCUGGGACAAUGAAUCAAGUGAAGAUAUCAAGGACCCGAAAGCCGAUUCCAUUGAUAACAACUUGGGUUCUGUCAAUGAUGUAGUCUGGGAGGAACUAUUGAGUGAUGAUCUAAUUGCUGGCAAUGAGGAAGAAGUACCCCCACUCCCACUGGGUGAUCCUCAUGAACCAGAAACUGAUGUGGAGGUUGAGGAUUUGGUUGCAACGCCUUCAGACUGGGGUGAGGACUUCCAAGACCUUGUGGACCAAAUGGCUUUUCUCAGGUCCAAAUCAUGAAGAAAUGCUCUGAUUAAAUCAAUUGGUCUUUUCUUCUGGUCUGCUGAAUUGGCCUCUGCAACUUCUUCACUGUUUCUCUUCUUGGGGAUUGGUGAAAGUUGCAAAGAGGCCAACCUAUGAACCUGUUCUUUUGUAUCCUUUGAUGAUGAUUGGUUUUUUAUUUUUUAUUUUUAACUUCUAAUUUUUUUCA